rnacentral:rRNA from 1 species
AGUGAACGCUGGCGGUAGGCCUAACACAUGCAAGUCGAACGGCAGCACAGUAAGAGCUUGCUCUUACGGGUGGCGAGUGGCGGACGGGUGAGGAAUACAUCGGAAUCUACUUUUUCGUGGGGGAUAACGUAGGGAAACUUACGCUAAUACCGCAUACGACCUACGGGUGAAAGCAGGGGAUCUUCGGACCUUGCGCGAUUGAAUGAGCCGAUGUCGGAUUAGCUAGUUGGCGGGGUAAAGGCCCACCAAGGCGACGAUCCGUGGCUGGUCUGAGAGGAUGAUCAGCCACACUGGAAGUGAGACACGGUCCAGACUCCUACGGGAGGCAGCAGUGGGGAAUAUUGGACAAUGGGCGCAAGCCUGAUCCAGCCAUACCGCGUGGGUGAAGAAGGCCUUCGGGUUGUAAAGCCCUUUUGUUGGGAAAGAAAAGCAGCAGGUUAAUACCCCGCUGUUCUGACGGUACCCAAAGAAUAAGCACCGGCUAACUUCGUG